AGGCUGCAGGGGAGACUCUGCUUUCAGGUGGGCAGUUUCAGAGGAGAAAGUGAGCACUGGGAGCCACACGUGGUCCUCGGCUGUCAGCUUCCGAGGGACGUGAUGUAAUCGUGCACUAAAAGGUUGCAACUAUUUGAAAAACAAACAAUGCUGACAGAUCUUCCGAUGCAUCUCAAGGCAACCCUAUCAGCAUGGAGCAGCAGCAGAGAGAAGCAGCUAUGGCACUGCGCUGUUGUGUUUGUGUGCCCCAGCGCCCCGCAGCCUGCUCGCACUGUGCAGGGCCAUGGCCAGCAGGCAGCUCGUGGCACCAUUGCUGUGGGGAGCUGCAGGACGCAGGUGCCAAAGACCUUUCAACAUCAGGCCUGGAGCCUUCGAGCUCUGCAGGGGGUGUGAGGCUGGCGGCUGAACCGCGUGCCUUAGGGAGGCAAACCCAGUGACCAGAGGCCUGGGGCCCUGCCUGCGGCCUCCUGCUGCCGGGAGGCCCUGCCCCAGGCCCUGCAGUGCCACCUCGGUGCCCGCCGUGCUGCCCGGUGCCACUGCACGGCCACUGCUUCCCUGCGCGGCAACAUCCAUGCCUCGCAAACCCUUCCUCUUGCCUGAAAUGCUGCCAUCAAGGUAAAAAGCAGUGUUGCCGUUGUUUUUACAAAAGCAGCUUUCUUAAACAUUUGAGCCAAGUUAACUAAAAAUAUCGUUGUCAGUAGAGCUAUUUAUAAAUGUGAAGAGCUGGUUGUUUUUGUAUUAUAUAUAUAUACUUUUCAGAGUUGC